GACGAACGCUGGCGGCGUGCUUAACACAUGCAAGUCGAACGCUGAACCCGCUUCAGUGGGGGAUGAGUGGCGAACGGGUGAGUAACACGUGGGCAACCUGCCCCCGGCUCUGGGAUAACUCCAAGAAAUUGGGGCUAAUACCGGAUGUGACCGCUGGCCGCAUGGUCUGGUGGUGGAAAGGGUUUCCGGCUGGGGAUGGGCCCGCGGCCUAUCAGCUUGUUGGUGGGGUAGUGGCCUACCAAGGCGACGACGGGUAGCCGGCCUGAGAGGGUGACCGGCCACACUGGGACUGAGACACGGCCCAGACUCCUACGGGAGGCAGCAGUGGGGAAUAUUGCGCAAUGGGCGGAAGCCUGACGCAGCGACGCCGCGUGGGGGAUGACGGCCUUCGGGUUGUAAACCUCUUUCAGCAGGGACGAAGCGCAAGUGACGGUACCUGCAGAAGAAGCACCGGCCAACUACGUG
rnacentral:rRNA from 1 species